rnacentral:lncRNA from 1 species
CUAACCAUGCUGACUCAUCAACCAUGAUACUUUUGUUCACUAUUAGAUAUCAUGACCACAGAGGAGAGGAGGGCACAUUUAAGAGGAAAAGGGAAAAAUCAUAAGAAAGCAAAGCUACAUACACAAUUGUGGCUAAAUCUCACGGCAAAUCCUCAAACCAAAGAAAGAUCUUGAGAACAAAAGGCAUGGAAAAGACACUAACAUCAAACUGAAUUGAGGAACUUCUUGAGUAAGUCACUCAACAUAGCACCGUUGAAUUAUUUAUAGAGGAGCUAUGCCAUCAACAUAAUCAGUGGUCACACGCCAAGGUAGUUAACAGUCGUCAAUAUGCAAAUCACAUGACAUUUUGGAAUCUCCCUUUGAAGUGAUCAUUAGCUAUCGAUAUACAAAUCACGUUUUACGAUUUCCUUAUAUAAUUCUUUAACAAUUAGAUUGUAUGAUGUUUGCACUAAAAUAUUUAUACGGAUGUAGAAAUAUACAUAUUUGAUAUGGUACAUUUUGACAUUGCCCGCGUGGACCCAGGCAAACAGAUAUGACGAUGCAGACGUGGAACCUCAAGUACGAUAUGGUGCGUAGCACACACG